UACGUAGGGCGCAAGCGUUAUCCGGAAUUAUUGGGCGUAAAGAGCUCGUAGGCGGUUUGUCGCGUCUGCCGUGAAAGUCCGGGGCUCAACUCCGGAUCUGCGGUGGGUACGGGCAGACUAGAGUGAUGUAGGGGAGACUGGAAUUCCUGGUGUAGCGGUGAAAUGCGCAGAUAUCAGGAGGAACACCGGAUGGCGAAGGCAGGUCUCUGGGCAUUAACUGACGCUGAGGAGCGGAAAGCAUGGGGAGCGAACAGG
rnacentral:rRNA from 1 species